rnacentral:rRNA from 1 species
CCUACGGGAGGCUGCAGUGAGGAAUAUUGGUCAAUGGACGAGAGUCUGAACCAGCCAAGUAGCGUGAAGGAUGACUGCCCUAUGGGUUGUAACCUUCUUUUAUAAAGGAAUAAAACGAGGCACGUGUGCCUUUUUGCAUGUACUUUAUGAAUAAGGAUCGGCUAACUCCGUGCCAGCAGCCGCGGUAAUACGGAGGAUCCGAUCGUUAUCCGGAUUUAUUGGGUUUAAAGGGAGCGUAGAUGGGUUGUUAAGUCAGUUGUGAAAGUUUGCGGCUCAACCGUAAAAUUGCAAUUGAUACUGGCAGUCUUGAGUACAGUUGAGGUAGGCGGAAUUCGUGGUGUAGCGGUGAAAUGCUUAGAUAGCACGAAGAACCCCGAUUGCGAAGGCAGCUUACUAAACUGUGACUGACAUUGAUGCUCGAAAGUGUGGGUAUCAAACAGGAUUAGAUACCCUUGUAGUC